GGGAAAUCUAGAACUGGGAAGAGUUCUCUUGAUUAUGAAAUACUUCUGUGAUUAAUAUAAGCCUAUUAUCAUCUCAGUUGUGGCCACCUGCCCUCUGCGGAGAAACUCCAUCCUAGCCUCCAUCAUGGACAGGUACAUGUCCCUCAAAUGGAACGGCUUUACGUGCUGUGUUGGCUCAUCCUGUUGAGCUGCUCCUCUC
rnacentral:lncRNA from 1 species